CCGGCGACCGGCGCACGGGUGAGUAACACGUAUGCGACCUGACCCCCCGCAGGGGGAUAACCGGGAGAAAUCCCGACUAAUACCGCGUAACGCCGCGGACCUGCAUGGGUCUGCGGCCAAAGGAAGCGAUUCCGGCGGGGGAUGGGCAUGCGGCGCAUUAGCUAGUCGGCGGGGUAACGGCCCACCGAGGCGACGAUGCGUAGGGGUUCUGAGAGGAAGGUCCCCCACACUGGUACUGAGACACGGACCAGACUCCUACGGGAGGCAGCAG
rnacentral:rRNA from 1 species